AAUAGAUACCCGGGUAGUCCACGCCGUAAACGGUGGGUACUAGGUGUGGGUUUCCUUCCUUGGGAUCCGUGCCGUAGCUAACGCAUUAAGUACCCCGCCUGGGGAGUACGGCCGCAAGGCUAAAACUCAAAGGAGUUGACGGGGGCCCGCACAAGCGGCGGAGCAUGUGGAUUAAUUCGAUGCAACGCGAAGAACCUUACCUGGGUUUGACAUGCACAGGACGCCGGCAGAGAUGUCGGUUCCCUUGUGGCCUGUGUGCAGGUGGUGCAUGGCUGUCGUCAGCUCGUGUCGUGAGAUGUUGGGUUAAGUCCCGCAACGAGCGCAACCCUUGUCCUAUGUUGCCAGCGGGUUAUGCCGGGGACUCGUAGGAGACUGCCGGGGUCAACUCGGAGGAAGGUGGGGAUGACGUCAAGUCAUCAUGCCCCUUAUGUCCAGGGCUUCACACAUGCUACAAUGGCCGGUACAAAGGGCUGCGAUGCCGUGAGGUGGAGCGAAUCCUUGGUAAAGCCGGUCUCAGUUCGGAUCGGGGUCUGCAACUCGACCCCG
rnacentral:rRNA from 1 species